GAGUAUGGCUGGAGCUAAUGAGUACUGCUAACUACUUAUCACCGCGGUUCGAUCCCGCGGCCCACUCG
rnacentral:tRNA from 1 species